rnacentral:rRNA from 1 species
UACGUAGGUGGCAAGCGUUGUCCGGAGUUAUUGGGCGUAAAGCGCGCGCAGGCGGUGCGGUAAGUCUCUGGUGAAAGCGCUCGGCUUAACUGGGCGAGGGCCGGGGAGACUGCCACGCUGGAGGGGAGCAGAGGCGAGUGGAAUUCCGGGUGUAGUGGUGAAAUGCGUAGAGAUCCGGAAGAACACCGGUGGCGAAGGCGGCCGGCUGGGGGUGACCUGACGCUGAGGCGCGAAAGCGUGGGGAGCGAACCGG